UGCUAAUAUAUUAUUCAUACUGUAGAAACUUGCAAUGCUAACUCAAUCCAUAGGAGAAUUUGAUGAUAUGGACAUUGAUAAGUCACCAGGAUAUUGGCCACGCAACAGCUAUUUUGGUGCUUACUAUAGAACUAGCUUUUGUCGCUUCCAACCGGACACACUCAUAUCCACACUACUUUUGCAGUGGCACUCAUUUUGGUGUAUAUAAUGCCACUUUUCUUAUUGUGUUCCUUCAAACUUGGGUUACAUGAUAGUUGCAACACUAAAUGUGCCUCUUAUGAAAUGUAUUGAUAUAUUAUUAUGUACGAAACCAUAAACUACUAUGAACGUCGAUAUAUUAUAUAUGUUCCAAUUCUACUUC